GAUGAACGCUAGCGACAGGCUUAACACAUGCAAGUCGAGGGGCAGCACGGUGUAGCAAUACAUUGGUGGCGACCGGCGCACGGGUGAGUAACGCGUAUGCAACCUACCUAUCAGAGGGGAAUAACCCGGCGAAAGUCGGACUAAUACCGCAUAAAACAGGGGUUCCACAUGAAAAUGUUUGUUAAAGAUUUAUCGCUGAUAGAUGGGCAUGCGUUCCAUUAGAUAGUUGGUGAGGUAACGGCUCACCAAGUCUACGAUGGAUAGGGGUUCUGAGAGGAAGGCCCCCCACACUGGUACUGAGACACGGACCAGACUCCUACGGGAGGCAGCAGUGAGGAAUAUUGGUCAAUGGGCGAGAGCCUGAACCAGCCAAGUCGCGUGAAGGAUGAAGGAUCUAUGGUUUGUAAACUUCUUUUAUAUGGGAAUAAAGUGAGGAACGUGUUCCUUUUUGUAUGUACCAUAUGAAUAAGCAUCGGCUAACUCCGUGCCAGCAGCCGCGGUAA
rnacentral:rRNA from 1 species